CAAAUAUAAUAAUACAGAUAAAAAUUAAAUCUACAAUACAAAAUUGCUCAACACUUUCUUUCAGAUGUUCAAACCCAGUCCUAAAGACCCACAUCCGAAGCCACUUAAGAAAAACAGUGUGAUCGCUGGAGAGAGUAAGAAAAAGGGGAAUUGGAAGCUGCUGACCACUUCUUCCGUAUACUGGCUCUGGAGGACAUUCUCGGUUUGUCUGUUCUUUUCUCCAGCUGUCAGAACAGACAGUACUGCAUCUUCCUGCUUUACUGUCUCGCCCAGCCAACGAGCCAACGCUACCACAGGGCUCCAGACUAAAAUUUAACAGCUGUGGCACCAGUGCCAAUAAGUUCUACAGAUGGGGAUGCCAGGAGCAGAUAUGGUAGCAUUGGGGUUGGUUUGGUGUGUAUUAAAAAUAAAGAUAAUUUAAUAAAAACAAAAAAUAGUAUUGUUUUGCAUUAAUAAGUGCAGUCACUAAUAAAAUUUCAUGUUCA